AGGAAAAGAAACCAACAGGGAUUGCCCUAGUAACGGCGAGUGAAGCGGCAACAGCUCAAAUUUGAAAUCUGGCGCAAGCCCGAGUUGUAAUUUGUAGAGGAUGCUUCUGGGUAGCGGCCGGUCUAAGUUCCUUGGAACAGGACGUGAUAGAGGGUGAGAAUCCCGUAUGUGACUGGCUUGCACCCUCCACGUAGCUCCUUCGACGAGUCGAGUUGUUUGGGAAUGCAGCUCUAAAUGGGAGGUAAAUUUCUUCUAAAGCUAAAUACCGGCCAGAGACCGAUAGCGCACAAGUAGAGUGAUCGAAAGAUGAAAAGCACUUUGAAAAGAGAGUUAAAAAGCACGUGAAAUUGUUGAAAGGGAAGCGCCGCAACCAGACUGUGCGGCGGUGUUCGGGCUGGUCUUCUGACCGGCCCACUCGCCGCCGUGAGGCCAUCAUCGUCUGGGACCGCUGGAUAAGACCUUAGAAUGAGCUCCCUUCGGGGUGUGUAAAGCCUCUGGUAUCAGCGCGUUCGGCGAGGUCCGCGUUCGGCAAGGAUGAUGGCGUAAUGGUUGUCGCGGCCCGUCUUGAAACACGGACCAAGGAGUCUAACAUCUAUGCGAGUGUUCGGGUGUCAAACCCCUACGCGUAAUGAAAGUGAACGGAGGUGGGAACUUUUUGUGCACCAUCGACCGAUCCUGAUGUCCUCGGAUGGAUUUGAGUAAGAGCAUAGCUGUUGGACCCCGAAAGAUGGUGAACUAUGCCUGAAUAGGGUGAAGCCAGAGGAAACUCUGGUGGAGGCUCGCAGCGGUUCUGACGUGCAAAUCGAUCGUCAAAUUUGGGUAUAGGGGCGAAAGACUAAUCGAACCAU
rnacentral:rRNA from 1 species